GGCGUAAGGGGCAGUAGGGCGUGGGCAACCUACCCCGGGGCCUGGCAUAGCCCGUCGAGAGACGGGGUAAUUCCAGGCGACGUCCCCGAGGGGCAUCCCUUGGGGACCAAAGGUCCGCCGCCCCGGGCGGGGCCCACGUGGUAUUAGCUGGUUGGUGGGGUGACGGCCCACCAAGGCCGAGAUGCCUAGCGGGUGUGAGAGCACGACCCGCGCCACUGGCACUGAGACACUGGCCAGACACCUACGGGUGGCUGCAGUCGAGGAUCUUCGGCAAUGGGCGCAAGCCUGACCGAGCGACGCCGCGUGUGCGACGAAGGCCUUCGGGUUGUAAAGCACUGUCGAGGGGGAGGAAAGCCCGCGAGGGUGUGACCUAUCCCUGGAGGAAGCACGGGCUAAGUUCGUGCCAGCAGCCGCGGUAAGACGAACCGUGCGAACGUUGUUCGGAAUCACUGGGCUUAAAGGGCGCGUAGGCGGGCGUCCAGGCCCGCGGUGAAAUCCCCCGGCUCAACCGGGGAAGGGCCGCGGGGACCGGGCGUCUGGAGUGAGGUAGGGGCGUGCGGAACUGUGGGUGGAGCGGUGAAAUGCGUUGAUAUCCACAGGAACUCCGGUGGCGAAGGCGGCACGCUGGACCUCGACUGACGCUGAGGCGCGAAAGCCAGGGGAGCGAACGGGAUUAGAUACCCCGGUAGUCC
rnacentral:rRNA from 1 species